GGAGGAGGGGUGGAGAGGGGGGUGAGUAAGUGGGGGCGUGGGUGGACGGGGGGGGCUGGAGAGGGUGGGAAGGAAAAAUUGGAGGUAGGGUGAGGGAAGGGGAGGGUUGAAGGGAAAAUAAUGAAACAGAGGAAAAAAGAGAAUAACAAGUAAAAAGCAAUGCAUGUAAAUACAGAGCAAGCAAGUAGGAAAGCUAGGCAUAGCACAGCAAAAGAGAGCAAAGCAAAAGAAGGCAAAGAAUGACAAAAAGCAACCUUGCAGGAAUGGAGGAAUCUGUCCAGAGCUGUGCCCCUGCUUGCCACAGGAGCUGCGCGGGAGGAGAAGAACGUGGGCCAAAAGGAGCUGCGCGGGAGGAGAAGAACGUGGGCCAAAAGGAAUGGAGGAAUCUGUCCAGAGCUGUGCCCCUGCUUGCCACAGGAGCUGCGCGGGAGGAGAAGAACGUGGGCCAAAAGGUAAGAGGAGCUCCUUUGGGUUCUGGGCUUGAAGCAAAGCUGAGAAGCCAUGCCCGGGAGGAGGUGUGGGUAGCUACAGGCCACCUUGCUAUCUCCCCAAGAGAUGAGGUGUGUGGGCUAGGCACCGGGCAGGAGUGCUGGCCAGAAGCAAGCAUCUCUGUGGAGGAAGGCAAAGGGCGGAGGAGGUUCAAGGGUAGCUACCGGGCAUGGCCUUGCUCAGCAAGGGGAGGAAAAGCCUGAAGGGCACGAGAAGGGGAUAGAGAAGGGCAGGCAGUAGGCGUGAAGCUGCGAGCAGAGUAGAGAGCAACUUGGCAGAGCAGCAAGCAGAGUAGGCAAGUGUUGGGUU
rnacentral:lncRNA from 7 species